UCCUUACACGGAAAUAAGGCCCAAAACUGCUCCAAAUUUUCCAAAUGCUGUCCAACCAGUGUUGUACAAAGCCUCAGCAUUAC